rnacentral:rRNA from 1 species
GAUGAACGCUAGCGACAGGCCUAACACAUGCAAGUCGAGGGGCAGCACAUGAGUAGCAAUACGAUGGUGGCGACCGGCGCACGGGUGAGUAACACGUAUGCAACCUGCCUGUAAGAGGGGAAUAACCCGGAGAAAUUCGGACUAAUACCGCAUAAUACCACGAGACUGCAUGGUUUUGUGGUUAAACAUUUAUGGCUUACAGAUGGGCAUGCGUAUGAUUAGAUAGUUGGUAGGUAACGGCCUACCAAGUCUACGAUCAUUAGGGGUUCUGAGAGGAAGGUCCCCAACUGGUACUGAGACACGGACCAGACUCCUACGGGAGGCAGCAGUGAGGAAUAUUGGUCAAUGGGCAGAGCCUGAACCGCCAAGUCGCGUGAAGGAGAAGGUUCUAUGGAUUGUAAACUUCUUUUGCAGGGGAAUAAAGGACGGUACGUGUACUGUUUGUAUGUACCUUGCGAAUAGGAUCGGUAACUCCGUGCCAGCAGCCGAC